GAUAAACGCUGGCGGCGUGCCUAAUACAUGCAAGUCGAGCGAACGGACGAGAAGCUUGCUUCUCUGAUGUUAGCGGCGGACGGGUGAGUAACACGUGGAUAACCUACCUAUAAGACUGGGAUAACUUCGGGAAACCGGAGCUAAUACCGGAUAAUAUUUUGAACCGCAUGGUUCAAAAGUGAAAGACGGUCUUGCUGUCACUUAUAGAUGGAUCCGCGCUGCAUUAGCUAGUUGGUAAGGUAACGGCUUACCAAGGCAACGAUGCAUAGCCGACCUGAGAGGGUGAUCGGCCACACUGGAACUGAGACACGGUCCAGACUCCUACGGGAGGCAGCAGUAGGGAAUCUUCCGCAAUGGGCGAAAGCCUGACGGAGCAACGCCGCGUGAGUGAUGAAGGUCUUCGGAUCGUAAAACUCUGUUAUUAGGGAAGAACAUAUGUGUAAGUAACUGUGCACAUCUUGACGGUACCUAAUCAGAAAGCCACGGCUAACUACGUGCCAGCAGCCGCGGUAAUACGUAGGUGGCAAGCGUUAUCCGGAAUUAUUGGGCGUAAAGCGCGCGUAGGCGGUUUUUUAAGUCUGAUGUGAAAGCCCACGGCUCAACCGUGGAGGGUCAUUGGAAACUGGAAAACUUGAGUGCAGAAGAGGAAAGUGGAAUUCCAUGUGUAGCGGUGAAAUGCGCAGAGAUAUGGAGGAACACCAGUGGCGAAGGCGACUUUCUGGUCUGUAACUGACGCUGAUGUGCGAAAGCGUGGGAAUCAAACAGGAUUAGAUACCCUGGUAGUCCACGCCGUAAACGAUGAGUGCUAAGUGUUAGGGGGUUUCCGCCCCUUAGUGCUGCAGCUAACGCAUUAAGCACUCCGCCUGGGGAGUACGACCGCAAGGUUGAAACUCAAAGGAAUUGACGGGGACCCGCACAAGCGGUGGAGCAUGUGGUUUAAUUCGAAGCAACGCGAAGAACCUUACCAAAUCUUGACAUCCUUUGACAACUCUAGAGAUAGAGCCUUCCCCUUCGGGGGACAAAGUGACAGGUGGUGCAUGGUUGUCGUCAGCUCGUGUCGUGAGAUGUUGGGUUAAGUCCCGCAACGAGCGCAACCCUUAAGCUUAGUUGCCAUCAUUAAGUUGGGCACUCUAAGUUGACUGCCGGUGACAAACCGGAGGAAGGUGGGGAUGACGUCAAAUCAUCAUGCCCCUUAUGAUUUGGGCUACACACGUGCUACAAUGGACAAUACAAAGGGCAGCGAAACCGCGAGGUCAAGCAAAUCCCAUAAAGUUGUUCUCAGUUCGGAUUGUAGUCUGCAACUCGACUACAUGAAGCUGGAAUCGCUAGUAAUCGUAGAUCAGCAUGCUACGGUGAAUACGUUCCCGGGUCU
rnacentral:rRNA from 1 species